GUGUAAUGGGAUUCAAUAAAUUAGAAGAGUUCCAAACAACCGAUUAUUGUAGAUUUUCAAAGUUGAAUAUGUCGCUGCUUAUGAGGUAACUAAAAGAAUAUUCUGAUUUAUUGCAGAACUAGAUAUAAUGUCAUGAGAUGACACAAUACUAUUCUUAAGUAAUGAUGGUGCCAUAGAUCUAGCUAAGGAGCCAAGGUCUCACCAGAGC
rnacentral:lncRNA from 1 species